rnacentral:rRNA from 1 species
GACGGAGGAUGCAAGUGUUAUCCGGAAUCACUGGGCGUAAAGCGUCUGUAGGUGGUUCGAAAAGUCCACUGUUAAAAAAUUGAGGCUUAACUUCAAAGAUGCCGUGGAAACUUUCAAACUAGAGUAUGGUAGGGGUAGAGGGAAUUUCCAGUGGAGCGGUGAAAUGCGUAGAUAUUGGAAAGACCACCGAUGGCGAAGGCACUCUACUGGGCCAUUACUGACACUGAGAGACGAAAGCUAGGGGAGCAAAUGGGG